AAAGUCGUAACAAGGUUUCCGUAGGUGAACCUGCGGAAGGAUCAUUAACACGUAUCCAACGUUAAACCCCCCUGUGAACUUUUACACUUGCUCUCGAAGCUCGCCGGAAUUGCAAUCCCUGGUAAAUCAUUGUUGAACAGAUUUUGAUUCAGGGACCUCAGUUUGGUGAGUUAGAUCCGAGCGAUCGUUGCAAGUGGCCUGGUUUCCCCAAGCAGUCAGUGUCUGAAAGUGUCAUUGAUUGUGUAAGGAUAACGCUUUUCGAUCACUAGAGGCCGACACCGGCCGGUGACCAGGUCGCAGUGGCUUCGGCCCCCUAUAUUCACCCCACUACCUUUAAGUCGCCUCGUAGGAAACUGCUUGGCAUCAAAACGAACAACUGUUAACAAUGGAUAUCUUGGUUCUC
rnacentral:misc_RNA from 1 species